UACGCAGGGGGCGAGCGUAUCCCGAAUUUACUGGGCGUAAAGCGCACGUAAGCGGCUUCGUAAGUCUGGUGUGAAAUCUCACGGCUCAACCGGGAGGCUGCACCAGAUACUGCGGAGCUCGAGGACGGGAGAGGAGAUCGGAAUUCCCGGUGUAGCGGUGAAAUGCAUUGCUAUCGGGAGGAACACCUGUGGCGAAGGCGGAUCUCUGGCCCGUUGCUGACGCUGAGGUGCGAAAGCUGGUGGAGCGAAAGGG
rnacentral:rRNA from 1 species